rnacentral:hammerhead_ribozyme from 1 species
AUCCGGCUGACGAGUCCCAAAUAGGACGAAACGCGCGUCCAGGAU